GGCAAGAUGGCCGAGUGGUUAAGGCGGGAGACUCAAGGACCCAAAUCCUUACCUGUCUAACAGGCAGCAUUCUUCUGGGGCAACCCGCGCGAGUUCGAAUCUCGUUCUUGUCA